CCUUUGGAGUGUCGGACCAAACGAAAGUAGCUAUCAGCAAAAUCGGACACAAUGAACAAGGAA
rnacentral:sRNA from 1 species